GGGGGAUAAGCUUCAUUGUCAAAAGGGAAAUAGCCCAGACUCCUAGAUAAGGCCCCUAAAUGAUUUCUAAGUGAUUAAGGAGGUGAAAUUGCAAAGACAACCAGGAAGUUGGCUUAGAAGCAGCCACCUUUUAAAAAGUGCGUAAUAGCUUACUGGUCUAGUGAUUUUGCGCCGAAAAUGAAUGGGACUAAGUAAUUUGCCGAAGCUGUAGGAUUUAAAAUCUGUAGAGGAGCAAGUUGUGGGACUUGUUCUCUUUGAAAGCAAUUAGACGCGGCCCCUGAGUGAGUCGUGACACUACAAAGACCUCCAGGAAGUAGGCUUGGAAGCAGCCAUCUUUUAAACAGUGCGUGAUAGCUGACUGGUCGAGUAGUUUUGCCCCAAAAUCAACGGGGCUAAAUAAUUUGCCGAAGCUGCAGGAUUUAAAAAUUUUAAAUCGGUAGAAGAGCGUUUUGUUUUGUUUGAAGCAAUUAUGUAAGUUUUUGUGGACUAUUCAAAAGUGAGAAUGUCGGCUUAAGUAACGAAAAUGUUGGUGGAAAUCCAAUACCCCGUAAACCUAAGGUUUCCUUUGCUAGGUUCGUCCACAGAGGGUUAGUCAGUUCCUAAGAUAAUGUUUAAAAACGUAAUUGAUGGGUAACAGGUUAAUAGUCCUGUACUAUAUAUUGUUUAUUAAGAAUAACGAAGAAGGCUAUAUUAUCCAAAUUUUGGUUUUUGGUCUAAUUUUUCAAGGCUUUGAGAAAUAUUAAAAAAAAUAUUUUGAGUUUAGAAUUAAAGUGCAAUGUGAGCUACGGCUCGUUGAGUAGUUUAUGUCAGGCUUCCAAGAAAAAUUUUUGUAAUAUGUAGCAAUAUAUAUCUGUACCGUAAACCGACACAGGUGGGUUGGUAGAGAAUACUAAGGGGCGCGAGAUAACCUCUUUCUAAGGAACUCGGCAAAAUAACUCUGUAACUUCGGGAGAAAGAGUGCCUCAAAAUUUUUUGGGGUUGCAGUGAUCAGGUCUAUGCGAAUGUUUAUCAAAAACACAGGUCUCUGUUAAGUUGUAAAACGAUAUAUGGGGGCUGACGCCUGCCCAGUGCUGGAAGGUUAUGGAAGCUUGUUAGCUUUUAGCGAAGCUUGUGACUUAAGCCCCAGUAAACGGCAGUUCUAACUAUGAGAAUUUUAAUGUAGCGAAAUUCCUUGUCAGGUAAGUUCUGACCCGCACGAAAGGCGUAACGAUAUAGAUACUGUCUCAGAAAGGGACUCGGUGAAAUAGAAUUGACUGUGAAGAUGCGGUCUACUUACACUUGGACAGAAAGACCCCGUGAAGCUUUACUGUAAGUUGAUAUUGAUUUUGGUUUUUAUUUGCGCAGAAUAGGUGGGAGGCUUAGAACUUAGUUUUCGGAUGAAAGUGAGCCAGAAUAUGAGAUACCACUCUUAGAAAAACUGAAAUCUAAUAGUAUUUUUAUAUUUGACAGUGUCAGUUGGGCAGUUUUACUGGGGCGGUAGCCUCCUAAAAAGUAACGGAGGCGUACAAAGGUUUCUUCAGUCUAGAUGGAAAUUAGAUGUAGAGUGCAAAGAUAUAAGGAAGCUUGACUGUGAGACUUACAAGUCAAACAGGGACGAAAGUCGGUCUUAGUGAUCCGACAGUACUGAGUGGAAAGGCUGUCGCAAACGGAUAAAAGUUACUCCGGGGAUAACAGGCUGAUCUCCCCCAAGAGUUCACAUCGACGGGGAGGUUUGGCACCUCGAUGUCGGCUCAUCGCAUCCUGGUGCAGUAGUAUGUACCAAGGGUUGGGCUGUUCGCCCAUUAAAGCGGUACGUGAGCUGGGUUCAGAACGUCGAGAGACAGUUCGGUCCAUAUCCGGUGUAAGCGUCGAGCAUUGAAAAUAACUUUCCUUAGUACGAGAGGACCGGGAAGGACACACCUCUGGUGUACCAGUUUUUGUGCCAACGGAAAACGCUGGGUAGUUAUGUGUGGAGUGGAUAACUGCUGAAAGCAUA
rnacentral:rRNA from 1 species